rnacentral:rRNA from 1 species
AGAGUUUGAUCCUGGCUCAGGAUGAACGCUAGCGGCAGGCUUAAUACAUGCAAGUCGAGGGGCAGCAUGAGUGUAGCAAUACAUUUGAUGGCGACCGGCAAACGGGUGCGGAACACGUACAGAACCUUCCUUCGAGCGGGGAAUAGCCCAGAGAAAUUUGGAUUAAUACCCCAUAGUAUAACGGAGUGGCAUCACUUUGUUAUUAAAGAUUUAUCACUUGAAGAUGGCUGUGCGGCUGAUUAGGUAGUUGGCGGGGUAACGGCCCGCCAAGCCUGCGAUCAGUAACUGGUGUGAGAGCACGACCAGUCACACGGGCACUGAGACACGGGCCCGACUCCUACGGGAGGCAGCAGUAAGGAAUAUUGGUCAAUGGACGAAAGUCUGAACCAGCCAUGCCGCGUGGAGGAUGAAGGUCCUCUGGAUUGUAAACUUCUUUUAUAUGGGACGAAAAAGGGUCUUUCUAGAUCAACUGACGGUACCAUAUGAAUAAGCACCGGCUAACUCCGUGCCAGCAGCCGCGGUAAUACGGAGGGUGCAAGCGUUAUCCGGAUUCACUGGGUUUAAAGGGAGCGUAGGUGGGUUGGUAAGUCAGUGGUGAAAUCUCCGAGCUUAACUUGGAAACUGCCAUUGAUACUAUCAGUCUUGAAUAUUGUGGAGGUCAGCGGAAUAUGUCAUGUAGCGGUGAAAUGCUUAGAUAUGACAUAGAACACCAAUUGCGAAGGCAGCUGGCUACGCAUAUAUUGACACUGAGGCUCGAAAGCGUGGGGAUCAAACAGGAUUAGAUACCCUGGUAGUCCACG